rnacentral:lncRNA from 1 species
CAAGUCACGACAAUGGCCACUACCCUACUCCAUUCUCUGUAAUGGAUUCUGCAUGGUUCCACCACUCUUUGACAAGUCAUGACAAUGGACACCACUCCACUCUCCGGGCUCUACCACUCUCUGGCAAGUCGCGACAACAGACACCACUCCACUCUCCGUAACAAACUCCACAUGGCCCUGAAUGGCCCCUGAUGCCACUACUCUCUACAACAAACUCUGCGCGGCCAUGAACGGCCCACUACUAGAUGGUUACAGACAUCGCUGUCAAUCAGUUAUGCUCUCCGUCUAUAAAAAGGGACCCUCAGAUACGUUCUUCUCUAAGCUCUAAACUCUGUCUCGAAACUCUGCUAAAAUUCUCACU